rnacentral:rRNA from 1 species
GGCGAACGCUGGCGGCAGGCCUAACACAUGCAAGUCGAACGAAGCCUUCGGGCUUAGUGGCGGACGGGUGAGUAACACGUGGGAACGUACCUUUUGGUUCGGAAUAACGCAGAGAAAUUUGCGCUAAUACCGAAUGAGCCCUUAGGGGGAAAGAUUUAUCGCCGAGAGAUCGGCCCGCGUUGGAUUAGGUAGUUGGUGUGGUAAAGGCGCACCAAGCCUACGAUCCAUAGCUGGUCUGAGAGGAUGAUCAGCCACACUGGGACUGAGACACGGCCCAGACUCCUACGGGAGGCAGCAGUGGGGAAUCUUGCGCAAUGGGCGAAAGCUUGACGCAGCCAUGCCGCGUGAAUGAUGAAGGUCUUAGGAUUGUAAAAUUCUUUUACCAGGGACGAUAAUGACGGUACCUGGAGAAAAAGCCCCGGCUAACUUCGUGCCAGCAGCCGCGGUAAUAC